UUCGACGAGUCGAGUUGUUUGGGAAUGCAGCUCAAAAUGGGAGGUAAAUUUCUUCUAAAGCUAAAUAUUGGCCAGAGACCGAUAGCGCACAAGUAGAGUGAUCGAAAGAUGAAAAGCACUUUGAAAAGAGAGUUAAACAGCACGUGAAAUUGUUGAAAGGGAAGCGCUGGCUAUCGAUGAAGAGCGCGGCGGUUCCCCCAGCCUUUUGGCUGGGCUACUCCGUCGUGUCCAGGCCAACAUCGGUUCUGAGGGUCGGUCAAAGGCCUUGGGAAUGUAUCUACUCACGGGUAGACUUAUAGACCAGGGUGUCAUGCGGCCUCUCGGGACCGAGGAACGCGCUUCGGCUCGGAUGUUGGCGUAAUGGUUGUCAGCGACCCGUCUUGAAACACG
rnacentral:rRNA from 1 species